AUACCAGACUCAAGAUCGCACAAGGAAGGCACCCCCGCUCUGUGGGGGAGACAGAAGCAGCCCUCUUCCUAUGCGCCAGCCCAUCUGCUUCUCUGCCUGCAUAAACAUGCGUUUUCUUCUUUUUGGUUACUGCAGCUUUGAAUUCAUGAGAAAGAAGAGUGUGAAACAAGAAGAAAAGAUAAGGUUGGAAGAGGGAAAGAGGAAAGGAGGGGAAUGGAAGGAAAACCCUGCAGCCACCAACACAAUAAACUGUAUCCUGAACCGCCUCAGCCUAGCCCAUCUUUUGCAGUGCGCACAUGUCAAUUUCCUCCGUGCAGAAUUCUGAAGAUGAUGGCCAGGGCAUGGCUGUGACCUAGGUGGCCUGAAAUGAUGAGACCCGUGUUAUAGGUCUUGGAAACCCCUUUCCAUUUGCCCCUUCUAGGCACAGACUUUCUUUGCCUUGAUACCUGUGACUCUUGAUAAAUCAUGAAUCUCCCACUAACUGGGGCAGCAAGCUCCCAAUGGUCCUGAAUCUGAGUAGGGGAAGAAAUGUCUCCCAAGCAGGGUAAGAAGUAAAGUGUUCUGGGACAGCUAGCUGAGCCAUGCCUUCCACCAUCUGACAGACAAAGACCUGCCAGUCUGACUUCAGGUUAUAAAUUGAGAAGAAACAUCAAGUAUUUGUUUGUCCUGUGGUUAAUCCGAGCUUCGCCAUGUCCAGAAGUCUUGAAGGGCAGAGCCUUGAGGAUCUUUCCCUGACCCUGACAGAUCCUCACCUGACUAUACUCAAAAAGUGCUCCAAAUUUCACUCUAUCCACCCCAUACUCAACGUUUCUCAGCUGGGACAGAAGCCUAGGUAUGGCCAUAGGGAUCUUGUAGAAGACCUGUUUUGGAGACCAAGAUUUUCAGUGACAGCCAGAACUGACCUGACUGGAAUAAUGACAUUUUCCCAUCUGUCCUAUGGUGUUGUUCUGGUCCAGUCACUGCCUUCACUUUCCUAAGACUUGCCCAGCCAGGGUUUGAUUCUACUUUCUCACCACUCUGAACAUUCCUAUUCCACCAGUGGGCCUUUUCUGUGACUUCAGGCCUGCAGGGACUCUACUGGUGGUUCUGGGACUGCCUCUGAACUAACCAGCUAUGGGCGUUGGUGUGGUCUGUCACCUAAUUGUUUUACCCCUGCUGAUCAUCCAAAAGCUGAACCCCUAUCCUGCCCUGCUGUGCCAGUGUGUAAGGGCUUCUGUCGGCCCUACCCCCACCAGACUAUAGUGAACUGCCAACAUCCUCUCA
rnacentral:lncRNA from 1 species